AUUGAACGCUGGCGGCAGGCUUAACACAUGCAAGUCGAACGAGUGGCGGACGGGUGAGUAAUGUAUGGGAAACUGCCUGAUGGAGGGGGAUAACUACUGGAAACGGUAGCUAAUACCGCAUACCAUCAGAUGUGCCCAGAUGGGAUUAGCUAGUAGGUGGGGUAAUGGCUCACCUCGGCGACGCUGCAUAGCUGGUCUGAGAGGAUGAAAAUACAACCUGUACUGGAGCCACGUGCCAGACGCCUACGUGUGGCAGCGUGUGGGAAUAUUGCACAAUGGGCGCAAGCCUGAUGCAGCCAUGCCGCGUGUGUGAAGAAGGUCUUCGGGUUGUAAAGCACUUUCAGCGAGGAGGCGUUACUCUCAGAAGAAGCACCGGCUAACUCCUUGCCAGCCGCCGCGGUAAUUC
rnacentral:rRNA from 1 species